rnacentral:rRNA from 1 species
UACGGAGGGGGCUAGCGUUGUUCGGAAUUACUGGGCGUAAAGCGCACGUAGGCGGACUGUUAAGUCGGGGGUGAAAUCCUGGGGCUCAACCUCAGAAUUGCCUCCGAUACUGGCAGUCUCGAGUGCGGGAGAGGUGAGUGGAAUUCCCAGUGUAGAGGUGAAAUUUCGUAGAUAUUGGGAAGAACACCAGUGGCGAAGGCGGCUGCACUGGCCCGUAACUGACGCUGAGGUGCGAAAGGCGUGGGGAGCAAACAGG